rnacentral:lncRNA from 1 species
CAAAUCUCUGUGCUGCUUUUUCUCCCUCUACCCUUCACUUAUGGCAUCAAAGUCUUGCCCACACCUCCUUAGGAAAACUGCGUCCGCUUGUGUCUCAGGGUGUUUUAGGUUAGGUUCCAAAUGAAUCUUUUGAUUGUAUUUCUUGAAAAAUUGCCAAACAACCUGCUCUAUCUUUUCACAAUAAUUCAUCUCUUGCUUGCUCUCCUUUUGAUCUCAU